UACGUAGGGGGCAAGCGUUGUCCGGAAUCAUUGGGCGUAAAGAGCGUGUAGGCGGCCCGGUAAGUCCGCUGUGAAAGUCCAGGGCUCAACCCUGGAAUGCCGGUGGAAACUGUCGGGCUAGAGUCCGGAAGAGGCGAGUGGAAUUCCUGGUGUAGCGGUGAAAUGCGCAGAUAUCAGGAGGAACACCGAUUGCGAAGGCAGCUCGCUGGAACGUUACUGACGCUGAGACGCGAAAGCGUGGGGAGCAAACAGG
rnacentral:rRNA from 1 species